rnacentral:rRNA from 1 species
AUUGAACGCUGGCGGCAUGCUUUACACAUGCAAGUCGAACGGCAGCGCGGGCCUCGGCCUGGCGGCGAGUGGCGAACGGGUGAGUAAUACAUCGGAACGUGCCCAGUAGUGGGGGAUAGCUCGGCGAAAGCCGGAUUAAUACCGCAUACGACCUGAGGGUGAAAGCGGGGGAUCUUCGGACCUCGCGCUAUUGGAGCGGCCGAUCGCAGAUUAGCUAGUUGGUGGGGUAAAGGCCUACCAAGGCGACGAUCUGUAGCUGGUCUGAGAGGACGACCAGCCACACUGGGACUGAGACACGGCCCAGACUCCUACGGGAGGCAGCAGUGGGGAAUUUUGGACAAUGGGCGAAAGCCUGAUCCAGCAAUGCCGCGUGUGUGAUGAAGGCCUUCGGGUUGUAAAGCACUUUUGGCGGGAACGAAAAGGACUGUGCCAAUACCACGGUUCGAUGACGGUACCCGCAGAAUAAGCACCGGCUAACUACGUG